rnacentral:rRNA from 1 species
GACGAACGCUGGCGGCGUGCUUAACACAUGCAAGUCGAACGGAAAGGCCCUGCUUUUGUGGGGUGCUCGAGUGGCGAACGGGUGAGUAACACGUGAGUAACCUGCCCUUGACUUUGGGAUAACUUCAGGAAACUGGGGCUAAUACCGGAUAGGAGCUCCUGCUGCAUGGUGGGGGUUGGAAAGUUUCGGCGGUUGGGGAUGGACUCGCGGCUUAUCAGCUUGUUGGUGUGGUAGUGGCUUACCAAGGCUGUGACGGGUAGCCGGCCUGAGAGGGUGACCGGCGACCUUGGGACUACGAGACGGCCCAGAAGCCUACGGGAGGCAGCAGUCGGGAAUAUUGCAGAAUGGGCGGACGCCUGAUGCAGCAACGCCGCGUGCGGGAUGACGGCCUUCGGGUUGUAAACCGCUUUCGCCUGUGACGAAGCGUGAGUGACGGUAAUGGGUAAAGAAGCACCGGCUAACUACGUG